AUGCCGCCGCUCGAGAUCCAGUCGCUGUGGCACGCGCGCCAGCUGCUCAGCGCGGGCCGGCGCCGCCGCGUCGUCUCCGUGAGCGGGGCGGAGUCCCUCGGUGAGGUCGCCGCCCUGGGACGGCUGCUCCGCCGCGCUCGCGACUGCAUCCUCCCGAAGAGCCGACGGUGGGACGUGCUGGGCUACCGGCGCAUCCUCAAUCUCGCCAGCAUCAGCGGCACCCUCGCCAGCCUGCGCCGACGCGACCUCCCCAGGCUCUACGCCCAGCCUUUCGACCAGGCGCGCAUCCAGCGCGCCCAGCGCGUGCGCGCUCUCUCCUCCCGCGUCGGCGGCGGGGCUCCAGGCUACCGCAGCCUCGUCCUCGCCGACCGCCUCCUCCUCCUCGUCGACGACGCCGACCGCCUCCGCCUCAUCGCCGACGACGCCGACGCCCGGCUCCUCGCCCUCGACCCCUUGCGCCAGCGCAUCGAGGACGACUGCGAGGCCGUCAGGGAGGAGCUCGAGCGCGCCGUCGACAUGAGCGAGCCCGCUCACUGA
rnacentral:rRNA from 1 species